GAGUUUGAUCCUGGCUCAGAACUAACGCUGACGGCGUGCCUCAUACAUGCAAGUCGAACGAGAAACUCCGUUUCGGCGGAGGAGUAAAGUGGCGAACGGGUGAGUAAUACAUAGGUAACUUACCUUUAAGUUGGGGAUAACCCUGCUAAAGCGGGGCUAAUUCCAAAUAGUGUUACAGAUUACAAGGAUUUGUAACGAAAAGUGACCUCUGCUUGCAAGUUACUGCUUAAAGAUAGGCUUGUGUCCCAUUAGUUAGUUGGUAGGGUAACGGCCUACCAAGACCACGAUGGGUAGCCGACCUGAGAGGGUGAUCGGCCACAUUGGGACUGAGAUACGGCCCAGACUCCUACGGGAGGCAGCAGUAGGGAAUUUUGUGCAAUGGGCGAAAGCCUGACACAGCAACGCCGUGUGAGUGAUGAAGCUCUUCGGAGUGUAAAACUCUGUCAAGAGGGAAGAAUAUUAAAUGGGUUAAUAUCCCAUUUGAAUGACGUUACCUUUAGAGGAAGCCCCGGCUAACUCCGUGCCAGCAGCCGCGGUAAUACGGGGGGGGCAAGCGUUGUUCGGAAUUACUGGGCGUAAAGGGGGUGUAGGCGGACCAAUAUGUCAGUGGUGAAAUCUUGCGGCUUAACCGCAAAACUGCCAUUGAAACUAUUGGUCUUGAGUAUGUAAGAGGAAAAUGGAAUUCCAGGUGUAGCGGUGGAAUGCGUAGAUAUCUGGAAGAACACCAAUUGCGAAGGCAGUUUUCUGGUGCAAUACUGACGCUGAUACCCGAAAGCUAGGGGAGCAAACAGGAUUAGAUACCCUGGUAGUCCUAGCUAUAAACGAUGGAUACUAGGUGUCGGAAGUAUCAACCCUUUCGGUGCCGAAGUUAACGCAUUAAGUAUCCCGCCUGGGGAGUACGACCGCAAGGUUGAAACUCAAAGGAAUUGACGGGGGCCCGCACAAGCGGUGGAGCAUGUGGUUCAAUUCGACGCAACGCGAAGAACCUUACCUGGGCUUGACAUGGGGGUGACUGGUGCAGAGAUGUACCUUUUUACUUUCGGGUAAACACCCUACACAGGUGCUGCAUGGCUGUCGUCAGCUCGUGUCGUGAGAUGUUGGGUUAAGUCCCGCAACGAGCGCAACCCUCGUCCUUAGUUGCCAUCGGGUAAUGCCGGGAACUCUAAGGAGACUGCCGAUAUAAGUCGGAGGAAGGUGGGGAUGACGUCAAGUCCUCAUGGCCCUUACGUCCAGGGCUACACACGUGCUACAAUGGCUAGUACAACGGGUUGCGAUACUGCGAAGUUGAGCCAAUCCCUAAAAGCUAGCCUCAGUUCGGAUUGUAGUCUGCAACUCGACUACAUGAAGUUGGAAUCGCUAGUAAUCACGGAUCAGCAUGCCGUGGUGAAUACGUUCCCGGGCCUUGUACACACCGCCCGUCAAGUCAACCGAAUUGAGUGUACUCGAAGUCGUUGUUUUAAUUCCCGUUUCGGCGGGAGGGAACGCGCCUAAGGUGCACUUGGUGAGAGGGACUAAGUCGUAACAAGGU
rnacentral:rRNA from 1 species